AUUUUGCAAGGGCGGCGUUCGUCCGACGCGCGUCCAGCUGACGUCGUACGGCGUGACGUCAUCAACACGUAGAUUAAAAAGGCGUUGUGACGUCAUAUCCUGAAGCGGUAGGUGGCAAACUGAGCCGGAAAGUCAAUGUGAAGAUGACGACGAUGGCAGAGACUGACUCCAGAGUCAAAAUAAACCCAUGGAUUCUAUUUCUGUCCUGUCUGGAUUUCUUUCACACAGGUGUGGUGCUAGCAGUGAACAUGACGCUUCCCAGCUCUCUCAUCCGAGGCACGCUAGGAGGUGAGGCCCUCCUCUCGGUUGACUA